GAUGAACGCUGGCGGCGUGCCUAAUACAUGCAAGUCGAGCGAAUGGAUUAAGAGCUUGCUCUUAUGAAGUUAGCGGCGGACGGGUGAGUAACACGUGGGUAACCUGCCCAUAAGACUGGGAUAACUCCGGGAAACCGGCGCUAAUACCGGAUAACAUUUUGAACCGCAUGGUUCGAAAUUGAAAGGCGGCUUCGGCUGUCACUUAUGGAUGGACCCGCGUCGCAUUAGCAAGUUGGUGAGGUAACGGCUCACCGAGGCUACGAUGCGUAGCCGACCUGAGAGGGUGAUCGGCCACACUGGGACUGGGACACGGCCCACUCCUACGGGAGGCAGCAGUAGGGAAUCUUCCGCAAUGGACGAAAGUCUGACGGAGCAACGCCGCGUGAGUGAUGAAGGCUUUCGGGUCGUAAAACUCUGUUGUUAGGGAAGAACAAGUGCUAGUUGAAUAAGCUGGCACCUUGACGGUACCUAACCAGAAAGCCACGGCUAACUACGUGCCAGCCGCCGCGGUAA
rnacentral:rRNA from 1 species